rnacentral:rRNA from 1 species
GUGAGUAACACGUGGGAACGUGCCUUUAGGUUCGGAAUAGCUCCUGGAAACGGGUGGUAAUGCCGAAUGUGCCCUUCGGGGGAAAGAUUUAUCGCCUUUAGAGCGGCCCGCGUCUGAUUAGCUAGUUGGUAAGGUAAUGGCUUACCAAGGCGACGAUCAGUAGCUGGUCUGAGAGGAUGAUCAGCCACAUUGGGACUGAGACACGGCCCAAACUCCUACGGGAGGCAGCAGUGGGGAAUCUUGCGCAAUGGGCGAAAGCCUGACGCAGCCAUGCCGCGUGAAUGAUGAAGGUCUUAGGAUUGUAAAAUUCUUUCACCGGGGACGAUAAUGACGGUACCCGGAGAAGAAGCCCCGGCUAACUUCGUGCCAGCAGCCGCGGUAAUACGAAGGGGGCUAGCGUUGCUCGGAAUUACUGGGCGUAAAGGGCGCGUAGGCGGAUCGUUAAGUCAGAGGUGAAAUCCCGGAGCUCAACUUCGGAAUUGCCUUUGAUACUGGCGAUCUUGAGUGUGAGAGAGGUAUGUGGAACUCCGAGUGUAGAGGUGAAAUUCGUAGAUAU